GCGAUGGAGACUGCGGCCCAAGUUAGGAUUAGGACAGCGGUUUUUCAGUCCGGAGAUUCCGGCCACAACUAUUUUUGUCUGUUUUUAUCGUAAGCCAGAGUCUUUGGGUGCAGCUCUGGGACACCUAAAGGGCCUGGAGAAAUUCAGGCGGGGCCAGUGCUGUGGGGGUAGAUGUUAGACGUGGAAGGGACCCUAGAGAGCCUUGACUGUGAGGACUGAGACAGGGCCUCCUUUGUUGCCCAGGCCGGAGUGCAGUGGCUAUUCACAGGUCGAUAAUGCAAUCAUGGUGCACACUACAGCCUUGAACUUCUGGGCUCAUGUGAUCCUUCUGCCUCAGCCUCCCAGCGCUAUCCUCAUCAUACAUAUACUGUGAAGAUAAAAUAUCUGUUGAAGAUUCUUUGAGCACCUUGGGCCAGAAGAGCUACAGAAAGCCAAGGUGUGGCUGUGAUGACACUGAAUUCAGCUCAAGACCCAGGAGAACCUUACAUCUAUUCUUAUUUCCACAAGGAAGUGCACACAUGGCUAAUGCAAAUUCUUCCAUAAUAAUGAUAUAAACUUGAGUUGUCCAGGUUUGAUGAGACCCACAUCUUGUAUAUACAGUGUCAUCUACUGCCUCUGUUAGGGGCUCUAGGGGAUAAAGGAAACUAUAUUAAGAAAUGCAGCAUCUGUUUCUCCCUGUGUGACCACCCUACUUCCAAGAAGUUUCUGUAUCCUUGGCUGAAGUGCACUGUGUGUAUGUGUAUGUGUGUACACUCUUCUACAUCAAUCUGUAAGUCACUGAAAUGCUGCAGAUGUUUUAAAAAAAUUCCACCAUACUUGCUUACUUUAAACUUUGAAACAGGCAAAUAGCUAAGGCCAAUAACACUAGAUAGAAUUAAGUAAUUAAUAAUUUAACAGCACAAUUUAACAUUGUGCUUCUUAGGAUGGGCAGGGAUUGGUUAAUGGAUACAAAAUUAUAGCUAGAUAGGAGGAAUGAGUUCUGGUGUUCUGGAGCACUGUAGGAUGAAUAUGGCUAACUAUAAUUUAUUGUAUACUGUCAAAAGUCUAGAAGAAAGGAUUUUAAAUGUUCACAACACAAAUAAUAAAUUUUUGAGAUAAUGCAUAUCUGGUUUGAUUGUUAUACAUUGUAUACAGUAUUAAAAUAUCACUAUGUAUCCCAUGAAUAUGUAAAAUUAUUAUUUAUUAUUUUAAAAAUAAAAGGGGAGGAAAGAGAAAAAAAAAAAAAAAAA
rnacentral:lncRNA from 1 species